rnacentral:lncRNA from 1 species
CAUAUCACUCAGCAAAGUCAAUUUUAUUUUUCUUUUGCUUCAUUUUUUAUUCAUUGAUACUAAAUUAAAUACCUGUAAUGAUACUAUAUACUGUAAACUGUUAUUUGAGCGUUGAAAUAAGUUAUCCAAUAUUACUGUAAUCGACAUAAAAAUAUUUUCUCGUGAUUAAAAGCUUAGAAUUGAUGAAAUGUCUAAUAUAAAAUAGCAUAUUUUUUCUACCAAAUUAAUUUAUUGAACAAGAGAACGCGUGAAAUAUAGUAAGUUCUUAUAAAAAUAACUUAUUUGACAUAAAACUUAUCUAAUAAAAUAUAAAAAUAGGUUAUUUGACGUAAAAAUUAUCUAAUAAAGUUUGGAAAUACCUCCUACUAACAUCUCUAAAUCUUACUCUGUUAUUCUCUCAUCUCUUCUGCCAAUCAUCAAGCGAGGAA